rnacentral:misc_RNA from 1 species
UAAAGUGCGAUAUGUAGUGCGAUUUGCAUGAAUCUGUGAGUCAUCUAAUCUUUGAACGCAACUUGCGCCUCUCUGAGGCAUGUUUGUUCGAGGGCCGCAUUCUUUCUGCAGUACAAUUAUGUAUAAUGCGAGCUGACCUUUGUCUCUUUAAUAUUUAAUUGGGGGGACUCGGUCUAAACAAAGUCAGAAGUGACAGUGGUCAUGUCUAGCCGAGUGCUAAGCAUUCUUGGCUCUAGAUGUGUUCUACUCGUCAUCCAAUACUUUAUUCUUUGGCCUCGAAUCAAGCAAGACUACCCGCUGAACUUAA